rnacentral:siRNA from 1 species
UGAUGCAAUUUUGGUGAUGUAC